rnacentral:rRNA from 1 species
GACGAACGCUGGCGGCGUGCCUAAUACAUGCCAGUAGAACGCUGAAGGAGGAGCUUGCUCUUCUGGAUGAGUUGCGAACGGGUGAGUAACGCGUAGGUAACCUGCCUGGUAGCGGGGGAUAACUAUUGGAAACGAUAGCUAAUACCGCAUAAGAGUAGAUGUUGCAUAACAUUUACUUAAAAGGUGCAAUUGCAUCACUACCAGAUGGACCUGCGUUGUAUUAGCUAGUUGGUGGGGUAACGGCUUACCAAGGCGACGAUACAUAGCCGACCUGAGAGGGUGAUCGGCCACACUGGGACUGAGACACGGCCCAGACUCCUACGGGAGGCAGCAGUAGGGAAUCUUCGGCAAUGGACGGAAGUCUGACCGAGCAACGCCGCGUGAGUGAAGAAGGUUUUCGGAUCGUAAAGCUCUGUUGUAAGAGAAGAACGAGUGUGAGAGUGGAAAGUUCACACUGUGACGGUAUCUUACCAGAAAGGGACGGCUAACUACGUG